UUUACGGGAGGCAGCAGUGGGGAAUAUUGGACAAUGGGCGAAAGCCUGAUCCAGCCAUGCCGCGUGUGUGAAGAAGGUCUUCGGAUUGUAAAGCACUUUAAGUUGGGAGGAAGGACAGUUACCUAAUACGUGAUUGUUUUGACGUUACCGACAGAAUAAGCACCGGCUAACUCUGUGCCAGCAGCCGCGGUAAU
rnacentral:rRNA from 1 species